UGGGGAAUAUUGCACAAUGGGCGCAAGCCUGAUGCAGCAACGCCGCGUGCGGGAUGACGGCCUUCGGGUUGUAAACCGCUUUUAGUAGGGAAGAAGGGCUUCGGCUUGACGGUACCUGCAGAAAAAGGACCGGCUAACUACGUGCCAGCAGCCGCGGUAAUACGUAGGGUCCGAGCGUUGUCCGGAAUUAUUGGGCGUAAAGAGCUCGUAGGCGGUUUGUCGCGUCUGCUGUGAAAACUGGAGGCUCAACCUCCAGCCUGCAGUGGGUACGGGCAGACUUGAGUGGUGUAGGGGAGACUGGAAUUCCUGGUGUAGCGGUGGAAUGCGCAGAUAUCAGGAGGAACACCGAUGGCGAAGGCAGGUCUCUGGGCACUUACUGACGCUGAGGAGCGAAAGCGUGGGGAGCGAACA
rnacentral:rRNA from 1 species